GACGGAGGGUGCAAGCGUUGCUCGGAAUCACUGGGCGUAAAGGGUGCGUAGGCGGGUCUUUAAGUCAGGGGUGAAAUCCUGGAGCUCAACUCCAGAACUGCCUUUGAUACUGAGGAUCUUGAGUUCGGGAGAGGUGAGUGGAACUGCGAGUGUAGAGGUGAAAUUCGUAGAUAUUCGCAAGAACACCAGUGGCGAAGGCAGCUCGCUGGGACGGUACUGACGCUGAGACGCGAAAGCGUGGGGAGCAAACAGG
rnacentral:rRNA from 1 species